rnacentral:rRNA from 1 species
GGCGCACGGGUGAGUAGCGCGUGGGUAAUCUACCUCUGCCUGGGGGAUAACACACCGAAAGGUGUGCUAAUACCGCAUAAUCCGGCGAACCUGCGGGUGAGUCGGCAAAGAUGGCCUCUUGACCAAAGCUGUCGGAUAGAGAUGAGCCCGCGUCCCAUUAGCUUGUUGGUAGGGUAACGGCCUACCAAGGCGACGAUGGGUAGCUGGUCUGAGAGGACGACCAGCCACACUGGAACUGGAACACGGUCCAGACUCCUACGGGAGGCAGCAGUGAGGAAUAUUGCGCAAUGGGGGAAACCCUGACGCAGCGAUGCCGCGUGGGUGAAGAAGGCUUUCGGGUCGUAAAGCCCUGUCAGGUGGGAAGAACAGUCUCUUAUUGAAUAGAUAGGAGGCAUGACGGUACCACCGAAGGAAGCACCGGCUAACUCCGUGCCAGCAGCCGCGGUAAGACGGAGGGUGCGAGCGUUAUUCGGAAUCAUUGGGCGUAAAGAGUGUGUAGGCGGCCGGUUAAGUCAGGUGUGAAAGCCCAGGGCUCAACCCUGGAAGUGCACUUGAAACUGGUCGGCUUGAGUUC